rnacentral:lncRNA from 7 species
CUCAUCUAUGUAGUAGCCAUCGAAAGCAUCUGUUUUGUCUCCAUGCCGUUGGAGACUUCCGGAUAGUAAGCGAAGGGACCAGGACCGCAUGCCUCUGCUUGCCGCUGAGUCCCCCACGCCACCGCACCCACGCCGAGCAAUCCAUGCCCAUCCCGGCCUCUUCUUGAUUUUCAUCCCUACCCGCCUCUGGCUCGCUCUUCUCAAUUCCUGCCGCAUGUCCAUCGUGUCGUCGUUGCGCGGGCGCAGGGCCAAGCGCCGCCAAAAGGCAUCAAUAGAGAAUAAGGCGACCGUGGGCGCAAGGGGUAAGCAGAAGCUCCCUCCGACCCUAGACGAGGGGAAGCAAGCUACAUAAGGAAUAGAUCCGGCCUUCAAGUGUUUAUUUCAACUUCAAUCAGGCCUUGAAAUUUGAACGUGUAAGGAUCUGCUGCUAAACCAUUUUACUGCUAGCAAGACCACAAAUUGUGA